AGACGUAGGAUGCGAGCGUUGUCCGGAUUCAUUGGGCGUAAAGAGUUCGUAGGCGGUUUGUUAAGUCUGAUGUUAAAGAUCGGGGCCCAACCCUGGGAGUGCAUUGGAUACUGGCAAGCUGGAGUGCAGUAGAGGCGAGUGGAAUUCCCAGUGUAGCGGUGAAAUGCGUAGAUAUUGGGAAGAACACCGGUGGCGCAGGCGACUCGCUGGGCUGUAACUGACGCUGAGGAACGAAAGCUAGGGGAGCAAAUGGGAUUAGAUACCCCAGUAGUCCUAGCUGUAAACGAUGGAUACUAGGCGUUGCAGGUAUCGACCCCUGCAGUGCCGCAGUUAACGCGAUAAGUAUCCCGCCUGAGGAGUACGGCCGCAAGGUUGAA
rnacentral:rRNA from 1 species